CCUACGGGAGACAGCAGUGAGGAAUAUUGGUCAAUGGGCGCGAGCCUGAUGGAGCAACACCGCGUGAGUGAAGAAGGGUUUCGGCUCGUAAAGCUCUGUUGUUGGAGAAGAACGUGCGUGAGAGUAACUGUUCACGCAGUGACGGUAUCUAACCAGAAAGGCACGGCUAACUACGUGCCAGCAGCCGCGGUAAUACGUAGGUGGCAAGCGUUAUCCGGAUUUAUUGGGCGUAAAGCGAGCGCAGGCGGUCGCUUAGGUCUGAUGUGAAAGCCUUCGGCUUAACCGAAGAAGUGCAUCGGAAACCGGGCGACUUGAGUGCAGCAGAGGACAGUGGAACUCCAUGUGUAGCGGUGUAAUGCGUAGAUAUAUGGCAGAACACCAGUGGCGAAGGCGGCUGUCUGGUCUGCACCUGACGCUGAGGCUCGACAGCGUGGGUAGCGAACAGGAUUAGAUACCCCGGUAGUC
rnacentral:rRNA from 1 species